rnacentral:rRNA from 1 species
CGUCUCAGUUCGGAUUGUAGUCUGCAACUCGACUACAUGAAGCUGGAAUCGCUAGUAAUCGCAAAUCAGAAUGUUGCGGUGAAUACGUUCCCGGGCCUUGUACACACCGCCCGUCACACCAUGAGAGUUGGCAAUACCCAACGUACGUGAUCUAACCCGCAAGGGAGGAAGCGUCCUAAGGUAGGGUCAGCGAUUGGGGUGAAGUCGUAACAAGGUAAC